rnacentral:rRNA from 1 species
CCGGGAACUCAAAGGAGACUGCCAGUGAUAAACUGGAGGAAGGUGGGGAUGACGUCAAGUCAUCAUGGCCCUUACGACCAGGGCUACACACGUGCUACAAUGGCGCAUACAAAGAGAAGCGACCUCGCGAGAGCAAGCGGACCUCAUAAAGUGCGUCGUAGUCCGGAUUGGAGUCUGCAACUCGACUCCAUGAAGUCGGAAUCGCUAGUAAUCGUGGAUCAGAAUGCCACGGUGAAUACGUUCCCGGGCCUUGUACACACCGCCCGUCACACCAUGGGAGUGGGUUGCAAAAGAAGUAGGUAGCUUAACCUUCGGGAGGGCGCUUACCACUUUGUGAUUCAUGACUGGGGUGAAGUCGUAACAAGGUAACCGUAGGGGAACCUGCGGUUGGAUCACCUCCUU